ensembl:lncRNA NDUFV1-DT NDUFV1 divergent transcript
CUCUUUCGCUCCCUCCUUAGCUCGCCGGCUCCCAGCCUUUGAUGCCACAAGUAAACAAACCUCGCAUGUCGCCUUCUGCUGGGUCCUGGAGGUCUUGGAAGCCUGAUGAACUCGUCUUUUUCAGUUUCCUGGAACCCUCUGCUGUGGUCCUCGUGAUAAGAGUGACCUUUUUGGCCUGCUCUCCCCAGCUCUUUUCCAGUCCUCAUGCAGGGUAUCAGCAUUGCUGAGUGGCCUGCCCAGGAUGACACAACUGCCAGAACUCGGCCUGAGGUCUCCUAACAACAAAUCCCCCACUGGUCCCCACCCACUGGAGCACCUACUUGCCAGGCUUCUCAAGCGAAGAAGGAGAUCCACUCUGAUGUCAUCUCCCAGGAGCCUUCUCUGCAGCAUCUCAGGUCCUGGCUCUCACCUCCUCAGCACCCAUCCCAUCCUGUGUCACUCUGUAUAUCAGCCUCCCCAGCCAGCCUCCAGGCCACAAGCCAAGAGGUAUCAAGGGCUCCUCCCUGUCCCACUGGCCCCACAUCCACUGUGUCUAUCUGGUCAACUUUACCUUCCAAACAUUCCCUGCACAGUGAUAGAUGGCUGUGGCCCUGUCAUCUCUCACCUGAAAUUAACAAUGUAUCCUUGGGGCCUCCCACCCUCACAUCUUGGCUCCUCCAGCCCCUUCUCUGCAAACAUGGAACAGUGGGAUUAUUAUAAAUCUCAGACCCGUUUUGCCCCUUUCCUGCCUGAGAGUUUUUGUGGUUCCCCACUGCCCUCAGAACAAAGCUCAAGACCCUUUGGCCUGGCAUUCAAGGUCCUUUGUGCUGCCACCUGUCAACCUCCCCAGUUCCAGCUCCUUUGGCUUUGCCCAUACAAGCUGGAUCUGCACCAGAGGAUCUGUCUUCCUCCCAACUUGGCCCUAGUCCUCCUAGGAGCCCUUUGGACGUCACCUCCCCCAGGAAGCUUUCUGCAACCACCCUACAACCGUCCCUAUAAACUUUAUAAAACCAAUUAGUGUGGGGAAAAGCAAGAGAGAUCAGAUUGUUACUGUGUCUGUGUAGAAAGAAGUAGACAUAGGAGACUCCAUUUUGUUAUGUACUAAGAAAAAUUCUUCUGCCUUGAGAUUCUGUGACCUUACCCCCAACCCCGUGCUCUCUGAAACAUGUGCUGUGUCAACUCAGAGUUGAAUGGAUUAAGGGCGGUGCAAGAUGUGCUUUGUUAAACAGAUGCUUGAAGGCAGCAUGCUCGUUAAGAGUCAUCACCACUCCCUAAUCUCAAGUACCCAGGGACACAAAAACUGCGGAAGGCCGCAGGGACCUCUGCCUAGGAAAGCCAGGUAUUGUCCAAGGUUUCUCCCCAUGUGAUAGUCUGAAAUAUGGCCUCGUGGGAAGGGAAAGACCUGACCGUCCCCCAGCCCGACACCCGUAAAGGGUCUGUGCUGAGGAGGAUUAGUAAAAGAGGAAGGAAUGCCUCUUGCAGUUGAGACAAGAGGAAGGCAUCUGUCUCCUGCCUGUCCCUGGGCAAUGGAAUGUCUCGGUAUAAAACCCGAUUGUAUGCUCCAUCUACUGAGAUAGGGAAAAACCGCCUUAGGGCUGGAGGUGGGACCUGCGGGCAGCAAUACUGCUUUGUAAAGCAUUGAGAUGUUUAUGUGUAUGCAUAUCUAAAAGCACAGCACUUAAUCCUUUACAUUGUCUAUGAUGCAAAGACCUUUGUUCACGUGUUUGUCUGCUGACCCUCUUCCCACAAUUGUCUUGUGACCCUGACACAUCCCCCUCUUCGAGAAACACCCACAGAUGAUCAAUAAAUACUAAGGGAACUCAGAGGCUGGCGGGAUCCUCCAUAUGCUGAACGCUGGUUCCCCGGGUCCCCUUAUUUCUUUCUCUAUACUUUGUCUCUGUGUCUUUUUCUUUUCCAAAUCUCUCGUCCCACCUUACGAGAAACACCCACAGGUGUGUAGGGGCAACCCACCCCUACAAAUUAGGGAAGAAGUAGGGGGAAAAGAUGAAAAUAAACCAAGCCUGCAGCAUACUCAGUAUUCAUCAUGAGGUCAGCUGCUCUCUGACCUGCUUCCUCAUGGCUGGUUGGUGCCUGUUGUCCCGGAGUGACAAAGACCCUAGAUUAUAGCUGCCCUUAACUGCUGUAUAAAUAACAACUUGAACAUGAAAUGCUAAAUUUUCCUUUUGAAGUAUUCCUUCAGAUCCUGCAUGCUGAUAAAACUACUGACUCAACUGGUCCCCAUGAGGAGCUGGCUCACCAAAGAAUGCGGUUUCCAAUCCCAAUUAUUUCAUGCCCCUUGCUUAGGCAAUCAACAAUCCCAAAUUUCCAGCCCCUUGCCCUCCACAAUCUCCUUAAAAAAUUCAGUCCAAAACUCCUUGGGGAGAUGGAUUUGAAGGUCUCCUCCCAUCUCCAAACUUGGUGCCCUGCAAUCAUUAAACUCUUUCUCUGCUGC